rnacentral:misc_RNA from 1 species
GCAGCCUCAUCAACAACCUCGUGUUGACCAGGUCAAUUACCUACACAGUCGAGGGAUGAUGGAGGGGAAUAUCUUCAAAGACAUUAAUGUUUCCGCAAGUCAGUCUAUGCAGCCACAAGGCAAUCUUGUUGAUCAAUGCAAGAUCCUAAAUUCAAGUGACAAUUUGCAAUUCAUGUUUGGGCCUCCAUUCAACUUACAGUCCACCAAUUACCCUGGAAGUCUGCCUGGCAUUGGAUGUGACACCACACCGAAGCAAGAUAUUCCAAUUUGGUACUAGCCAUGAUAUUGGUGAAACGU